GACGAACCGUGCGAACGUUGUUCGGAAUCACUGGGCGUAAAGCGCACGUAGGCGGAUCGAUCAGUCAGGGGUGAAAUCCCAGGGCUCAACCCUGGAACUGCCUUUGAUACUGUCGAUCUGGAGUAUGGAAGAGGUGAGUGGAAUUCCGAGUGUAGAGGUGAAAUUCGUAGAUAUUCGGAGGAACACCAGUGGCGAAGGCGGCUCACUGGUCCAUUACUGACGCUGAGGUGCGAAAGCGUGGGGAGCAAACAGG
rnacentral:rRNA from 1 species